GAUGAACGCUAGCGAUAGGCCUAACACAUGCAAGUCGAGGGGCAUCACAUGAAGUAGCAAUACGGAUGGUGGCGACCGGCGCACGGGUGAGUAACACGUAUGCAACCUGCCUUCAACAAGGGGAUAACCCGUUGAAAGACGGACUAAUACCCUAUAACACAGGGGUCCCGCAUGGGAAUAUUUGUUAAAGGACAACCGGUUGAAGAUGGGCAUGCGUUCCAUUAGCUAGUUGGCGGGGUAACGGCCCACCAAGGCAACGAUGGAUAGGGGAACUGAGAGGUUUAUCCCCCACACUGGUACUGAGACACGGACCAGACUCCUACGGGAGGCAGCAGUGAGGAAUAUUGGUCAAUGGACGCAAGUCUGAACCAGCCACGUCGCGUGAAGGAAGACGGCCCUACGGGUUGUAAACUUCUUUUAUACGGGAAUAAAGUGCCCCACGCGUGGGGUUUUGCAAGUACCUUGCGAAUAAGGAU
rnacentral:rRNA from 1 species